GGGAGGCCAGGGACAGGUAGCUGUCCUCGUUCAACCUGCUCUGAGUGGCUGGACCACGAGGAUUAAUUCUUAACCCAGCACGGAGAGGUGGCUGUUCCUCCAAAGGCAGGUGUCCCUUCUUGUUGCGACCACCUGGCACUUCAUUGAAUUUGACAACAGAAGGCGCUAGACGUGAAUACUUGAAGCCAGGUCGCGGUGACGCUUGGCUGAAAUCAAAGCCGAGCAUUCCGGAUUCAACACCUUCUAAGUGCUGUUACUGCCGCCGUCUGUGGCUGUUGUUCGUCGUCGGGCUUCAGGAAACCCAAGACGCCGUAGGUCCGAAGCCUGCAAACGUGGCCCACGGGCCAAAUCUGCCCUCCCUUGGUUUCCGUACACAACGCCGAACCGGAACAUGGGGCGCCUGUUUACUCAGCAUCCCUGGCCACUUCCAAACGACACUGCCGGCAGGGUGGAGUCGUGAUGGACACCCCGGGGCUCUCGGAGUCUCAAGUCGUUCCUCCCUGACCCUUUACGGGGAAAACCUGCUGACCGUACAAGGCACGCUAUCAUUUCAGACUAUGCCAGGAAAGAGAAGGAUCCCACCAGUGCAGCUAUGACACGCCGUCGGUGCCAGAUGGAUCCAAAGUUCAGG